rnacentral:rRNA from 1 species
UACGAGGGGGGCAAGCGUUGUUCGGAAUUAUUGGGCGUAAAGGGCGCGUAGGCGGUUUGACAAGUCUGAUGUGAAAUCUCUGGGCUCAACCCAGAGUCUGCAUUAGAAACUGUCGGGCUUGAGUGUGUGAGAGGUGAGUGGAAUUUCCGGUGUAGCGGUGAAAUGCGUAGAUAUCGGAAGGAACACCUGUGGCGAAAGCGGCUCACUGGACCAUAACUGACGCUGAGGCGCGAAAGCUAGGGGAGCAAACAGG